CACUAUCGUUAACUGAAUACAUAGGUUAACGAGGCGAACCGGGGGAACUGAAACAUCUAAGUACCCCGAGGAAAAGAAAUCAACCGAGAUUCCCCCAGUAGCGGCGAGCGAACGGGGAGCAGCCCAGAGUCUGAAUCAGCUUGUGUGUUAGUGGAACGGUCUGGAAAGUCCGACGGUACAGGGUGAUAGUCCCGUACACCAAAAUGCACAGGCUGUGAACUCGAAGAGUAGGGCGGGACACGUGGUAUCCUGUCUGAAUAUGGGGGGACCAUCCUCCAAGGCUAAAUACUCCUGACUGACCGAUAGUGAACCAGUACCGUGAGGGAAAGGCGAAAAGAACCCCGGCGAGGGGAGUGAAAAAGAACCUGAAACCGUGUACGUACAAGCAGUGGGAGCACCUUCGGGUGUGACUGCGUACCUUUUGUAUAAUGGGUCAGCGACUUAUAUUCUGUAGCAAGGUUAACCGUAUAGGGGAGCCGCAGGGAAACCGAGUCUUAACUGGGCGUUAAGUUGCAGGGUAUAGACCCGAAACCCGGUGAUCUAGCCAUGGGCAGGUUGAAGGUUGGGUAACACUAACUGGAGGACCGAACCGACUAAUGUUGAAAAAUUAGCGGAUGACUUGUGGCUGGGGGUGAAAGGCCAAUCAAACCGGGAGAUAGCUGGUUCUCCCCGAAAGCUAUUUAGGUAGCGCCUCGUGAACUCAUCUUCGGGGGUAGAGCACUGUUUCGGCUAGGGGGUCAUCCCGACUUACCAACCCGAUGCAAACUACGAAUACCGAAGAAUGUUAUCACGGGAGACACACGGCGGGUGCUAACGUCCGUCGUGAAGAGGGAAACAACCCAGACCGCCAGCUAAGGUCCCAAAGUCAUGGUUAAGUGGGAAACGAUGUGGGAAGGCACAGACAGCCAGGAUGUUGGCUUAGAAGCAGCCAUCAUUUAAAGAAAGCGUAAUAGCUCACUGGUCGAGUCGGCCUGCGCGGAAGAUGUAACGGGGCUAAACCAUGCACCGAAGCUGCGGCAGCGACACUAUGUGUUGUUGGGUAGGGGAGCGUUCUGUAAGCCUGCGAAGGUGACCUGUGAGGGUUGCUGGAGGUAUCAGAAGUGCGAAUGCUGACAUAAGUAACGAUAAAGCGGGUGAAAAGCCCGCUCGCCGGAAGACCAAGGGUUCCUGUCCAACGUUAAUCGGGGCAGGGUGAGUCGACCCCUAAGGCGAGGCCGAAAGGCGUAGUCGAUGGGAAACAGGUUAAUAUUCCUGUACUUGGUGUUACUGCGAAGGGGGGACGGAGAAGGCUAUGUUAGCCGGGCGACGGUUGUCCCGGUUUAAGCAUGUAGGCUGGUUAUCCAGGCAAAUCCGGAUAAUCAAGGCUGAGGUGUGAUGACGAGGCACUACGGUGCUGAAGUAACAAAUGCCCUGCUUCCAGGAAAAGCCUCUAAGCAUCAGGUAACAUCAAAUCGUACCCCAAACCGACACAGGUGGUCAGGUAGAGAAUACCAAGGCGCUUGAGAGAACUCGGGUGAAGGAACUAGGCAAAAUGGUGCCGUAACUUCGGGAGAAGGCACGCUGGUGUGUAGGUGAAGCCCCUGCGGGUGGAGCUGAGACCAGUCGAAGAUACCAGCUGGCUGCAACUGUUUAUUAAAAACACAGCACUGUGCAAACACGAAAGUGGACGUAUACGGUGUGACGCCUGCCCGGUGCCGGAAGGUUAAUUGAUGGGGUUAUCCGUAAGGAGAAGCUCUUGAUCGAAGCCCCGGUAAACGGCGGCCGUAACUAUAACGGUCCUAAGGUAGCGAAAUUCCUUGUCGGGUAAGUUCCGACCUGCACGAAUGGCGUAAUGAUGGCCAGGCUGUCUCCACCCGAGACUCAGUGAAAUUGAACUCGCUGUGAAGAUGCAGUGUACCCGCGGCAAGACGGAAAGACCCCGUGAACCUUUACUAUAGCUUGACACUGAACAUUGAGCCUUGAUGUGUAGGAUAGGUGGGAGGCUUUGAAGCGUGGACGCCAGUCUGCGUGGAGCCAACCUUGAAAUACCACCCUUUAAUGUUUGAUGUUCUAACGUUGGCCCCUUACCGGGGUUGCGGACAGUGUCUGGUGGGUAGUUUGACUGGGGCGGUCUCCUCCCAAAGCGUAACGGAGGAGCACGAAGGUUAGCUAAUCCUGGUCGGACAUCAGGAGGUUAGUGCAAUGGCAUAAGCUAGCUUGACUGCGAGCGUGACGGCGCGAGCAGGUGCGAAAGCAGGUCAUAGUGAUCCGGUGGUUCUGAAUGGAAGGGCCAUCGCUCAACGGAUAAAAGGUACUCCGGGGAUAACAGGCUGAUACCGCCCAAGAGUUCAUAUCGACGGCGGUGUUUGGCACCUCGAUGUCGGCUCAUCACAUCCUGGGGCUGAAGUAGGUCCCAAGGGUAUGGCUGUUCGCCAUUUAAAGUGGUACGCGAGCUGGGUUUAGAACGUCGUGAGACAGUUCGGUCCCUAUCUGCCGUGGGCGCUGGAGAAUUGAGGGGGGCUGCUCCUAGUACGAGAGGACCGGAGUGGACGCAUCACUGGUGUUCGGGUUGUCAUGCCAAUGGCACUGCCCGGUAGCUAAAUGCGGAAGAGAUAAGUGCUGAAAGCAUCUAAGCACGAAACUUGCCCCGAGAUGAGUUCUCCCUGAGACUUUAAGUCUCCUGAAGGAACGUUGAAGACGACGACGUUGAUAGGCCGGGUGUGUAAGCGCAGCGAUGCGUUGAGCUAACCGGUACUAAUGAACCGUGAGGCUUAACCUUACAACGCCGAAG
rnacentral:rRNA from 1 species